rnacentral:rRNA from 1 species
GGUGAAGGCUGUGCCGGCAGCCGGGGCAAUAAAGGGUGGGGAAGGUUUGUUCGGAAUGACUGGGCGGAAAUGGCGCGUAGGCGUCCCUCGAAGUCAGACGUGAAAUCCCACGGCUUAACCUGGGAACUGCGUCUGAGACUGGAGGGCUUGAGUAUGGGAGAGGGAUGUAGAAUUCCAGGUGUAGCGGUGAAAUGCGUAGAUAUCUGGAGGAAUACCGGUGGCGAAGGCGGCAUCCUGGACCAUUACUGACGCUGAGGCGCGAAAGCUAGGGGAGCAAACGGGAUUAGAUACCCGGGUAGC